rnacentral:rRNA from 1 species
GACGAACGCUGGCGGCGUGCUUAACACAUGCAAGUCGAACGGAAAGGCCCUGCUUUUGUGGGGUGCUCGAGUGGCGAACGGGUGAGUAACACGUGAGUAACCUGCCCUUGACUUUGGGAUAACUUCAGGAAACUGGGGCUAAUACCGGAUAGGAGCUCCUGCUGCAUGGUGGGGGUUGGACAGUUUCGGCGGUUGGGGAUGGACUCGCGGCUUAUCAGCUUGUUGGUGGGGUAGUGGCUUACCAAGGCUUUGACGGGUAGCCGGCCUGAGAGGGUGACCGGGGACAUUGGGACUGAGAUACGGCCCAGACUCCUACGGGAGGCAGCAGUGGGGAAUAUUGCACAAUGGGCGGAAGCCUGAUGCAGCAACGCCGCGUGCGGGAUGACGGCCUUCGGGUUGUAAACCGCUUUCGCCUGUGACGAAGCGUGAGUGACGGUAAUGGGUAAAGAAGCACCGGCUAACUACGUG